rnacentral:rRNA from 1 species
AUUGAACGCUGGCGGCAGGCCUAACACAUGCAAGUCGAACGAGUGGCGGACGGGUGAGUAAUGUCUGGGAAACUGCCUGAUGGAGGGGGAUAACUACUGGAAACGGUAGCUAAUACCGCAUACCAUCAGAUGGGCCCAGGUGGGAUUAGCUUGUUGGUGGGGUAACGGCUGACCAAGGCGACGAUCCCUAGCUGGCCUGAGAGGAUGACCGGCCACACUGGGACUGAGACACGGUCCAGACUCCUACGGGAGGCAGCAGUGGGGAAUAUUGGACAAUGGGCGCAAGUCUGAUCGAGCAAUGCCGCGUGAAUGAAGAAGGUCUUCGGGUUGUAAAGCACUGUCGGCGGGGAGGCGGUACCUGAAGAAGAAGCACCGGCUAACUCCGUGCCAGCAGCCGCGGUAAUAC